GACGAACGCUGGCGGCGUGCUUAACACAUGCAAGUCGAACGAUGAUGCCCAGCUUGCUGGGUGGAUUAGUGGCGAACGGGUGAGUAACACGUGAGUAACCUGCCCCUGACUCUGGGAUAAGCGUUGGAAACGACGUCUAAUACUGGAUAUGAUCACUGGCCGCAUGGUCUGGUGGUGGAAAGAUUUUUUGGUUGGGGAUGGACUCGCGGCCUAUCAGCUUGUUGGUGAGGUAAUGGCUCACCAAGGCGACGACGGGUAGCCGGCCUGAGAGGGUGACCGGCCACACUGGGACUGAGACACGGCCCAGACUCCUACGGGAGGCAGCAGUGGGGAAUAUUGCACAAUGGGCGAAAGCCUGAUGCAGCAACGCCGCGUGAGGGAUGACGGCCUUCGGGUUGUAAACCUCUUUUAGUAGGGAAGAAGCGAAAGUGACGGUACCUGCAGAAAAAGCACCGGCUAACUACGUGCCAGCAGCCGCGGUAAUACGUAGGGUGCAAGCGUUGUCCGGAAUUAUUGGGCGUAAAGAGCUCGUAGGCGGUUUGUCGCGUCUGCUGUGAAAUCCCGAGGCUCAACCUCGGGCUUGCAGUGGGUACGGGCAGACUAGAGUGCGGUAGGGGAGAUUGGAAUUCCUGGUGUAGCGGUGGAAUGCGCAGAUAUCAGGAGGAACACCGAUGGCGAAGGCAGAUCUCUGGGCCGUAACUGACGCUGAGGAGCGAAAGCAUGGGGAGCGAACAGGAUUAGAUACCCUGGUAGUCCAUGCCGUAAACGUUGGGCGCUAGAUGUAGGGACCUUUCCACGGUUUCUGUGUCGUAGCUAACGCAUUAAGCGCCCCGCCUGGGGAGUACGGCCGCAAGGCUAAAACUCAAAGGAAUUGACGGGGGCCCGCACAAGCGGCGGAGCAUGCGGAUUAAUUCGAUGCAACGCGAAGAACCUUACCAAGGCUUGACAUACACCGGAAACGGCCAGAGAUGGUCGCCCCCUUGUGGUCGGUGUACAGGUGGUGCAUGGUUGUCGUCAGCUCGUGUCGUGAGAUGUUGGGUUAAGUCCCGCAACGAGCGCAACCCUCGUUCUAUGUUGCCAGCGGGUUAUGCCGGGGACUCAUAGGAGACUGCCGGGGUCAACUCGGAGGAAGGUGGGGAUGACGUCAAAUCAUCAUGCCCCUUAUGUCUUGGGCUUCACGCAUGCUACAAUGGCCGGUACAAAGGGCUGCGAUACCGUAAGGUGGAGCGAAUCCCAAAAAGCCGGUCUCAGUUCGGAUUGAGGUCUGCAACUCGACCUCAUGAAGUCGGAGUCGCUAGUAAUCGCAGAUCAGCAACGCUGCGGUGAAUACGUUCCCGGGCCUUGUACACACCGCCCGUCAAGUCAUGAAAGUCGGUAACACCCGAAGCCGGUGGCCUAACCCUUGUGGAAGGAGCCGUCGAAGGUGGGAUCGGUGAUUAGGACUAAGUCGUAACAAGGUAGCCGUACCGGAAGGUGC
rnacentral:rRNA from 2 species